rnacentral:rRNA from 1 species
GAGUUUGAUCACUGGCUCAGGACGAACGCUGGCGGCGUGCUUAAUACAUGCAAGUCGAACGAGGUCCAUCCGGUGGCAACACCGGUGAAGACCUAGUGGCGAACGGGUGAGUAGCACGUGAGCAACCUGCCCCGAAGACUGGGAUAACACCGGGAAACCGGUGCUAAUACCGGAUGCCCCCAUCGGACCGCAUGGUCUGAUGAGGAAAGGAUUUCUGCUUCGGGAGGGGCUCGCGGCCCAUCAGCUUGAUGGUGAGGUAACGGCUCACCAUGGCAACGACGGGUAGCUGGUCUGAGAGGACGAUCAGCCACACUGGGACUGAGACACGGCCCAGACUCCUACGGGAGGCAGCAGUAGGGAAUCUUGCGCAAUGGGCGAAAGCCUGACGCAGCAACGCCGCGUGAGGGACGAAGGCUUUCUGAGUUGUAAACCUCUUUCAGCAGGGACGAUUGUGACGGUACCUGCAGAAGAAGCACCGGCCAACUACGUGCCAGCAGCCGCGGCGAUACGUAGGGUGCAAGCGUUGUCCGGAUUUAUUGGGCGUAAAGAGCUCGUAGGCGGUUCGAUAAGUCGGGUGUGAAAUCUCCAGGCUCAACCUGGGGUCGCCACUCGAUACUGUCGUGACUAGAGUCCGGUAGGGGACCAUGGAAUUCCUGGUGUAGCGGUGAAAUGCGCAGAUAUCAGGAGGAACACCAGUAGCGAAGGCGGUGGUCUGGGCCGGAACUGACGCUGAGGAGCGAAAGCGUGGGGAGCGAACAGGAUUAGAUACCCUGGUA